rnacentral:ncRNA from 2 species
GUACGUCUUCAGGGCGGGGUGUAAUUCCCCACCGGCGGUAUGUGGCAAGGCUUCACGGCCGAACCACGAGCCCGCGAGCGCCCGUGCGAGCAUCAUGCGCGGGGUCAGCAGAUCUGGUGAGACGCCAGAGCCGACGGUCAUAGUCCGGAUGAGAGAAGAUGUGC